GGGAGGCGGGCCAGGAGGCGGGUGUUGACGGCCAGGGCGGCCAAUCGGUAGUCGGGGAAGAGGACGGUUUCCCGUUGGCAGGAGGGGCAGGAAAGGAACUUGGACUUGGGACAGGAUUGGUAGAGGAUCUGCAGACAUUUGUGGGUUCGAGUCACGUGACAUCGGGCGGGUUGCGGGUUCGAGUCACGUGACGGGCUUGUAGGUCCCUGGUCCCGGGUUCGAGUCACAUGACAUCGGACGGUUUGCGGGUUCGAGUCACGUGACGGGCUGCCGGAUCGCGGGUUCAAGUCCCAUGACAGGCUCCUGUGUCCCAUGUCCCGGGUUCGAAUCACAUGACGGGCUCCUGUGUCCCGUGUCCCGGGUUCAAAUCACAUGAUGGGCUCCCUGGUCCUGGGUUCAAGUCCCAUGACAGGCUCCUGUGUCCCAUGUCCCGGGUUCAAAUCACAUGAUGAGCUCCCUGGUCCUGGGUUCAAGUCCCAUGACAGGCUCCUGUGUCCUGUGUCCCGGGUUCAAAUCACAUGAUGGGCUCCCUGGUCCUGGGUUCAAGUCCUAUUCCAGGCUCCCGGACUCUGGGUCCGAAUCCCACUCCAGGCUCCCGGGUUCGAAUCACAUGAUGUUCUUCCUGGCUCCGGGUUCGAAUCGACCCGGCGACCCGGGUUCAAGACACAUGACGGGCUCCUGGGCUCCGAAUCCCACUCCUGGGUUCGAAUCACAUGACAGGGUUCCGGGCUCCGGGUUCGAAUCACAUGACAGGGUUCCAGGCUCCAGGUUCAAAUCACAUGAAGGGCUCUGGCUCCAAGUCCCAUGACAGGGCUCUGGGUUCAAGUCCCACUCCGGGUUCCUGGGUCUCGGGUUCAAAUCAAAGGACCCAUGACAAGUCCCACGACAGGCUCCUGUGUCCCGUGUCCUGGGUUCGAAUCACAUGACGGGCUCCCUGGUCCUGGGUUCAAGUCCCAGGACAGGGCUCUGGGACGGAAUCACAUGACGGGGUCCCGGCUCCGGGUUCGACUCCGCGUCACAUGACGACGCAGGCCCCCACCGGCUUCCUCACCCGGCAAUUACACGCCGCCCCGCAAUACUGCCGGAAGCUCUGGGAGCAGCCUCUCUCCGAUUGGCCGGCGCCCCAGGGCGGCGGGUUGCGAUUGGCCGGCUCGGCCGGGGGGAGGCGGGCCAGGAGGCGGGUGUUGACGGCCAGGGCGGCCAAUCGGUAGUCGGGGAAGAGGACCGUUUCCCGUUGGCAGGAGGGGCAGGAAAGGAACUUGGACUUGGGACGCGAUUGGUCGAGGAUCGGCAGGCGGCGCCGGGUUCGAUUCGACGGAGUCCAGUUGGGCGACGGGUUCGAAUCACCUGACGGGCUGCCGGAUCGCGGGUUCAAGUCCCAGGACAGGCUCCUGUGUCCCGUGUCCCGGGUUCAAAUUACAUGAUGGGCUCCCAGAUCGCGGGUUCAAGUCCCAUGACAGGCUCCUGUGUCCCAUGUCCCGGGUUCGAAUCACAUGACAGGCUCCUGUGUCCCGUGUCCCGGGUUCAAAUCACAUGAUGGGCUCCCAGAUCGCGGGUUCAAGUCCCAUGACAGGCUCCUGUGUCCCGUGUCCCGGGUUCAAAUCACAUGAUGGGCUCCCAGAUCGCGGGUUCAAGUCCCAUGACAGGCUCCUGUGUCCCAUGUCCCGGGUUCAAAUCACAUGAUGGGCUCCCUGGUCCUGGGUUCAAGUCCCAUGACAGGCUCCUGUGUCCCAUGUCCCGGGUUCGAAUCACAUGAUGUCGGUGAAGAGGACGCUUUCCCGUUGGCAGGAGGGGCAGGAAAGGAACUUGGACUUGGGACGCGAUUGGUCGAGGAUCGGCAGGCGUUCCUCCCAGGCGGCGCCGGGUUCGAGUCGAGUCGGGCGACGGGUUCGAAUCGCCGGACGGGCUGCCAGAUCGCGGGUUCAAGUCCCAGGACGGGGCGACGGGUGGCGGGUUCGAGUCACGUGACCUCGGACGGGUUGCGGGUUCGAGUCAUGUGACGGGCUGGUAGGUCCCGGGUUCGAGUCACGUGACGGCGCAGGACAUCGGGCGGGUUGCGGGUUCGAGUCACAUGACGGCGCAGGACAUCGGGCGGGUUGCGGGUUCGAGUCACAUGAUAUCGGACGGGUUGCGGGUUCAAGUCAUGUGAUGGGCUGGCAGGUCCCAGGUCCCGGGUUCGAGUCACGUGAUAUCGGACGGGUUGCGGGUUCGAAUCACAUGACGGCGCAGGACAUCAGACGGGUUGCGGGUUCGAGUCACGUGACGGGCUCCCAGAUCGCGGGUUCAAGUCCCAGGACGGGGCGACGGGUGGCGGGUUCGAGUCACAUGACAUCGGACGGGUUGCGGGUUCGAGUCAUGUGAUUUGCUUGUAGGUCCCUGGUCCCGGGUUCGAGUCACAUGACAUCGGGCGGGUUGCGGGUUCGAGUCAUGUGACGGGCUGCCAGAUCACGGGUUCGAGUCCCAGGACGGGGCGACGGGUGGCGGGUUUGAGUCACGUGACAUCGGGCGGGUUGCGGGUUCGAAUCGCAUGACGGCGCAGGACAUCAGACGGGUUGCGGGUUCGAGUCACGUGACGGGCUCCCAGAUCGCGGGUUCAAGUCCCAGGACGGGGCGACGGGUGGCGGGUUCGAGUCACAUGACAUCGGACGGGUUGCGGGUUCGAGUCAUGUGAUUUGCUUGUAGGUCCCGGGUCCCGGGUUCGAGUCACAUGACAUCGGACGGGUUGCGGGUUCGAGUCACGUGACGCGCUUGUAGGUCCCGGGUUCCGGGUUCGAGUCCCAUGACGGCGCACGACAUCGGACAGGUUGCGGGUUCGAGUCACGUGACGGGCUGGCAGGUCCCGGGUUCGAGGGACCGAGGGACGGAAGGCCUGCUUUGUCCAGCGCCGGGUUCGAUUCGACGGAUUCGAUGUCCCGGAGUUGAGUUGGGUGACGGGUUCGAAUCACCUGACGGCACAGGACACAUCGCGGGUUCAAGUCACAUGACGGGUCGCGGGUUCGAAUCCCGUGAGGCGACGACGAAGCCCCGAAUUCGACCGGGUGGGAAUUGGACAGGUCCCAUGUCCCGGGUUCGAGUCCCAGGACGGUGCAGGUGGCGGGUCCUGGGUUCGAGUCCCAGGACGGGGUCCCAUGUCCCGGGUUCAAGACCCUCGACGAAAUGGAGGACGGCAAAUGGGCGAAAUGCGACGGGUCCCGGGUUCAAGACACACGACGGGCUCCCGGGUUCGAGUCCCAUGACGGCCUCCCGGCUCUGGGUCCGAGUCACAUGACGGCGCACGACGAAAUUCGAUGGGUCCCGGGUUCAAGACACACGACGGGCUUACGGGGUCUCGGGUUGCGGGUUCGAAUCACAUGAUGGGCUCCCUGGUCCUGGGUUCAAGUCCCAUGACGGGCUCCCGGGUUGCGGGUUCGAGUCCCCCUCCGGCUUCCGGGUCUCGGGUUCAAAUCAAAGGACCGGCUCCCAGGUCCUGGGUUCAGAGUCCCAGGACCGGGCUCUGGCUCCAAGUCCCAUGACAGGGCUCUGGGUUCAAGUCACAUGACGGCCUCCCGGGCUCCGGGUUCAAAUCCCAUGAAGGGCUCCGAGGUUCAAGUCCCAUUCCAGGCUCCGAAUCCCUCCGGGUUCCUGGGUCUCAGGUUCAAAUCACAUGAUGUUCUUCCGAGCUCCGGGUUCAAAUCACAUGACAGGCUACUGGGCUCCGGGUUCAAAUCCAUGAAGGGCUCCGAGUUCAAGUCCCAUUCCAGGCUCCCGGCUCCGGGUUCGACUCCCACUCCGUCCUCCCGGCUCCGGGUUCGACUCCGCGUCACAUGACGACGCAGGCCCCCACCGGGUUCCUCACCCGGCAAUUACACGCCGCCCCGCAAUACUGCCGGAAGCUCUGGUAGCAGCCUCUCUCCGAUUCGCCGGCGCCCCAGGGCGGCGGGUUGCGAUUGGCCGGCUCGGCCUGGGGGAGGCGGGCCAGGAGGCGGGUGUUGACGGCCAGGGCGGCCAAUCCGUAGUCGGUGAAGAGGACGGUUUCCCGUUGGCAGGAGGGGCAGGAAAUGAACUUGUACUUGGGACAGGAUUGGUAGAGGAUCUGCAGACAUUCUUCGCAGACCGAAUGGAGGCAGGAGAGGAGGCGGGGCCUCUUGUGGGCGGAGUUGUAGGCGUGGCCGCAGGUGGGGCACUCUAGGGAUUCGCCGGGAGGACUGGCGGGGAGGGCGUACUGGUUGGCGAUCACUUCCGCCCCGGUCGCCGGGUAGAAAACGGGGGGCGGGUUCGAGUCGAGGGGCUUGGCCACGCCCUCGUUGGCGAUGACCUCGUGGCCGGGGGGGAACUUCCUGCGGAGCUCGGGGAGCUUCCUGUUGGGGAGGAGGUCGCUGGGGGGGAACUUCCUGUUGGGGAGGAGGUCGUUGGGGGGGGAACUUCCUGUUGGGGAGGACGUCGCUGGCCUCGUUGAACUUCCUGUUGGCCUCGUUGAAGUUCCUGUGGGCGAGGCGGUCGCGGGGGGGGAACUUCCUGUGGGCCUCGUUGAAGUUCCUGUUGGCGAGGAGGUCGCUGGGGGGGAACUUCCUGUUGGGGAGGCCGUCGUUGGCCUCGUUGAACUGCCUGCUGGCGAGCACCUCUUGGCCGGGGGGGAACUUCCUGUUGGCCUCGUUGAAGUUCCUGUUGGCGAGGACGUCGCUGGGGGGGAACUUCCUGUUGGGAAGGAUGUCGUUGGGGAGGACGUCGCUGGGGGGGAACUUCCUGUCGGCGAAGGCGUCGCUGGGGGGGAACUUCCUGUUGGCCUCGUUGAAGUUCCUGUUGGCGAGGAGGAGGUCGUUGGGGGGGAACUUCCUGUUGGGCAGGACGUCGCUGGGGGGGAACUUCCUGUCGGCGAAGGCGUCGUUGUUGGGGAACUUCCUGCCGGCAAGGACGUCGUGGUUGGAGAACUUCCUGCCGACCUCGCUGAACUUCCUGUUGGGCCCCGGAGGCCCCUUGAGGCAGGACAUGAGGAGGGCGGUCACCUGGCUAACGUCGGGAGGCGGGGCAGGAAG